rnacentral:rRNA from 1 species
UGGGGAAUUUUGGACAAUGGGGGCAACCCUGAUCCAGCGACGCCGCGUGAAGGAUGAAGGUCUUCGGAUUGUAAACUUCUUUUGGAGGGGAUGAAUGCCCCGGCGAAAAGCCGGGGGUGACAGUACUCUCUGAAUAAGCCACGGCUAACUACGUGCCAGCAGCCGCGGUAAUACGUAGGUGGCAAGCGUUACUCGGAAUCACUAGGCGUAAAGCGCAGGUAGGCGGUUUGGUAAGUCUGUUGUGAAAGCUCCCGGCUCAACUGGGAGAGGCCAACGGAAACUACCAGGCUAGAGUGUGGUAGAGGUAGCUGGAAUUCCCGGUGUAGCGGUGAAAUGCGUAGAUAUCGGGAGGAAUACCGAUGGCGAAAGCAGGCUACUGGACCAUCACUGACGCUGAUCUGCGAAAGCUAGGGGAGCAAACAG